UACAGUAUAAUCCUUGUUUAAUAGAUGAGGAAACCAAGGAGCAGGAAUCUUAGAGAACUUAUCCAAAGUCAAGGUGCUCCUAUGGAGCAGAGCAGCAUUUCAUACCAGACAGAUGACUUCCAGAGGCUCUUCUCUCAAUCCCAGUGCUAUCCUACAGUAUUAUAUUAUCAGACGAGAUCCAACGGCUGAGCAAGGAAAAAUAUGUGCUGACUAAUUCCAUAAUGGACCUACAGAACAACAACAACAACAAAAAACAAGAGGAAAAGGUGGAGGACAUAU